UCCCGACCUCAAACCACAGGGAGAAUAAAGUUUGUGAAAUAUUAGUUUAAUAAGACAUGCGACUACUAUUAAGGAUCCAAGGGUUCUUAUUUAUUAUUCAUGGGGCCGUGUGAUUUAGGGGCGAGUGGGUCCACAGAGGCUCUGCUUGGCCGCCUCUCCCGCAGCCAACCCUCCCAGCUGCACUGGUUUCCAUCAUCCUCUCCUCCUACACUUGCUCACACUGCAGUGCUCACAGGGACCCCCCACCUCACCAGGUGUGGAGUGGAGGACAAGGUGGUCGCAGUUCUCCCCUGGCUGCCUGCCCUGGGCCCUGCUCUGUGGGAGUCUCUGAAAGGAGAAGGUCGUGGCUGCCCAAGUCCGGCCUGCGGAGGAGACCCUCAGCGUUGUAGCAGGCCGAGGGGCGGUCCCUUUUCUGUCUCCUCUUAAGGGUCCUGGGACCUCUGAGAGUUAGGUAGGCGAGUCAGGCCUAGAGCAGAUAGAGAGAGUCAGGAGGGGACUAGGUUAUACCUGCGCUAACUUGCUGUGUGACAUUGACAGGUGUCUUGCCUUCUCUGUCUCAGGCUUCCUCUAAAAUCAGAGCCCGGGUGGAUCAUCUAAAAGUUUCUCAGCAGGAAGGAAAUGGGCAGGUGUCUUGUGUGUCGUGUACAAUAUCUUCCUAGACGCACAAAAUCCGUCAUGGCAUCUCAGUGCCGCCAAAUUUCCUCUUCUGUGACUUCAUAGUCAGCUUCUUCUCUUCCCCCAAACGCAGACCCUCGGUCCUGGCUUCUUUGGUCAUACGUUAGAGUUGCUCGCUCUUGAACUUUGUAGUAGUAAAGUCACGUACCUUAUACAACACGUGGUUGUCAACAGUUUCCUCCUUUUCCAUUGUUGAGCAACACUCCACGGGUGUGAUUGGCAAGCUGUGAAUCCAUCCACCACCGUGAUCACGCAGGCGUCCGGUGUUUGGUGCUCAUGAAUGACAGCUUCCAGGAGUGUCUGCAGCCUCUUGGAUUCUAUUUCCCUUGGGUAAAUAUUUAUGAAUGAACUUGCUAAGUCAAAAGGAUAUAUUUACACACAAAGACUGAAAGCCGGAGGCAGGGAGACGUCUCAGUGGGUAAAGAGCUGGCCCUGAGAACCUUGUGAGCUGAGUUUGGAUCCACAGAACUUGCGGAAAGCUGGGCGCAGGUGCACAAACGCUCCUGCAGUGAGUCGGGAGCAGAGACAGCGACACCCUGGAAGCGAGCAGGCCCGCUAUCCUGCUCGCACACCCGAGACUGCUCCAGCCCCGGUGAGGACCGACACCCGAGACAGCCUUCUCAUGCGCAGGCCUGAACUGUACCCAUCGCACACAGAGCACACAGGAGUGGGAGCCCUGAUAGACGUGUAAAUGGUGAAGUUUAAAAAUUGUAGCAUGCCGAAGUCUGGUUUUUGAUAAGUAAGUUCUAACUGAAGUUCCAGUUUCUGUUUACAGACUCUGUGUCUUGUGGGCUCUCAGCUGAUCUUUGCUCCGCGUUGUGAGUCCGUUUUCUUGUAGAAGUGUAUAGUUCAAGUGUUAUGAUCCAUUGUAGACUGACCGUUGUGUGUGGUGUGAAGCAGGGGUGAGCUUUUCUGUUCGCUUUUGAUUCUGUUUCUUUGUUCGAUCGUCCAGUUGUCCAGUGUGAUUGAAGAUUUUGCUUUUUACAGUGAGUACGCAAACAGAGGCAAGAAAGAAAGACAGGAAGGUAGGAAGGGAGGACAGUGGGGAAAGGGAAGGGGUGAGAGAGACGGACAGACAGGGUGAGGGAGGAAGAGUAGGUGAGAGAACAGGCCCUCUGGGUACUGGUCUGUCUUGGACUUGCCUUUCCUUUCCCAAGCGUCUGCCUUCAUGCCAGGUCCCACGAUCCUGAGUACAUCACCUGUACAGUGAGUUUUAAAACCAGGCAGAAUAAAGUCAAUGCUUCCUUUUAA